UCUAAUAUGGCAGAGUAGUGCAUUGGAUUUAAACCCCAAAUAUAAAGGUUAAACUUUUUUUAGAA
rnacentral:tRNA from 1 species